rnacentral:rRNA from 1 species
UACAGAGGUCUCGAGCGUUGUUCGGAUUCAUUGGGCGUAAAGGGCGCGUAGGCGGCGGGGUAAGUCUGGUGUGAAAUCUCGGAGCUCAACUCCGAAAUUGCACUGGAUACUGCUCUGCUAGAGGGCUGGAGAGGAGAUCGGAAUUCACGGUGUAGCAGUGAAAUGCGUAGAUAUCGUGAGGAAGACCAGUGGCGAAAGCGGCUCACUGGACCAUAACUGACGCUGAUGCACGAAAGCUGGGGGAGCAAACAGG